AAGCUUCGGCAGCACAUACGCUAAAAUUGGAACGAUACGGAGAAGAUCAGCAUGGCCCCUGCACAAGGGUGACAUGUAAAUUCGUGAAGCAUUCCAUAUUUUU